rnacentral:antisense_RNA from 1 species
AACUUUAAAACCCAGUUGAUUUAUACGAUUAAUAUGUAUUAUAAUGAAACAAAUUUCAAUAUUGCUGAUUGGAAAAACCAAAGGCACUUUUCUCACACGGGAAAAGUGCCUUUUUCAUUUACUAUUACAGGGGGAUUUUUUAUGCAGAAAUUAAUUG